rnacentral:rRNA from 1 species
GACGAACGCUUGCGGCGUGCUUAACACAUGCAAGUCGAGCGGAGCGGCGCACGGGUGCUUAACGCGUGAGUAACUGCCCCCCUCUCUGGGCUAACAGUUGGAAACCGCUGCUAAUACCGGUUAGUGGGGAAUGACCCGCGUCCUAUCAGCUUGUUGGUGGGGUAGUGGCCUACCAAGGCGACGACGGGUAGCCGGCCUGAGAGGGCGACCGGCCACAUUGGGCGGAGAUACGGGCCGAACUCCUACGGGAGGCAGCAGGGGGGAAUAUUGCAAAAUGGGGGAAAGGAUGAUGAAGCAACGCCGCGUGCGAGAGGGCGGCCUUCGGGUUGUAAACAGCUUUCAGCCAUGACGCGGAAGGGGCAGAAGAAGCACCGGCAAACUACGUGCCAGCAGCCGCGGUAAUAC